rnacentral:lncRNA from 9 species
UUCCCAGUCUCUCUUGCAGUGGGUGUGGUCAUGUGAUGUGGUAACGUGGGCAGAAGUGAUGGGGUCCCUUCUGGAUCUUACCCUCAAAGAAUUGGAAAGAUGAUAGUCCAUCGUAUGUCUGUACCACAUCUUCCUUUAUUCAGCCAUAAAAAAAAGAAUGAAAUAAUGCCCUUUGCAGCAACACGGAUAGAUCUAGAGAUUAUCAUAUUGAGUGAAGGAAGUCAGGCAGAGAAAGACAAAUAUCAUAUGGCAUCACUUAUAUGGGGGAUCUAAUUUAAAAAUGAUACCAAAGAACUUAUUUGUAAAACAGAAACCAGCUCACAGAUUUCAAAACCAAUAUUAUGGGUAACCAUAGGCGAAACCCUUGGGGGAAGAGAGGAAUUGGGAAAUGGGAAUAACAUAUACACACUACUGUAUAAAAUAGAUGCAUAAAAAGAACCUACUGUAGGCGUUCCCGUUGUGGCUCAUGGCUAUAGAUGUAACUUCUGACUUAAUCACCAGCUCCCCCAUGAGAGGGCAGCUGUAGUCUAAAUUUGUAUUUCUACCUAAAUUGCCAUUUUUGUCUAAAAAAAUUUAUCCUAUGAUUAACAACUUUCAUUUUCUCUUCUUUCUUAUAAAAAGUGUUACUCAAAAUGGGUUUCCCAGAGUUCCCAUUGUGGCUCAGGGGGUUAAGAACCCGACAUGUUGUCGGUGAGGAUACAGGUUCACUCCUUGGCCUUGCUCAGUGAGUUAAGGAUCUGGUGCUGCCACAAGUUGCAGGAUAGGUCGCAGAUGCAGCUCGGACCCAGUGUUGCCAUGGCUGUGGGGUAGGCAGGCAGCUGCAGCUCCCAUUCAACCUCUACCCUGGGAUCUUCCAUAUGCUUCAGGUGCGGCCGUAAAAAGGAAAAUAAAUAAAUAAAUUUCCCUAGCUUUUCACAGCUUUCUGGCAUCUGUGGCCAAAAGUAGAGCCACUUUUCUAUUUCUAUUAUCCAGGCAUGGCCUGAUGUAUGGACAGAUUUGGGGGUGACUUCAGGGCUUUGGGGUGCCUGCUUAUUCCAGAGCCUCGGCACUUGCUUCUUGGGGUUACAAAGUCCUUCUCAGGGAAACACCGCCUCUCAUUCCUUGGAGAUAACGUAAAAAUGAGACCACCUGGCAAAAGGUGACCCAUGGAUUAAUGAGUCCGCAAUAGGAAAUGAAUGACUGACAGCAGGUCCUUUCCAAUUCCGACAGGUGGAAAGAAUGAGGCUAAGAAAAGGUGGGCAGAGGCUUUGUCUGAGAGAGAAGCCAAUGAAUGGAAGGCAAUCGUGGAGGAGGCGCCUGAGGACACGGGAGCUGCCCUGUAACACAGUCCCGCCAGCAACACGCUUUCCCCAGCCACACGACCUCAGCAAGUCCUGGUCGAAGUGGAGACCCUCAUGCUUGCGUCACAGGAUGUCGUGAUUCUUAAAAUAUCUCAAGUCUAUAAUGUGCAAGCCUGAUACUUAAGGGUCACUACCAGUGUGCAAAAAUCUUGAUUUCCGUCUCCUCGGAUAAACAGUUGUGGAACGACUCAGGGGGUAUGUGAAAGAAUAACCGAAGGCGUGAACAGCUUUCCCUCCCGUCAGCUGACCCAUCGGCACCCAUCUGCCGCACAUCUGCUUUGCCAGCCACCACAUUCGACAUUCAGCGCAUGAUUUAUCGACUGCCUAAUAUAUGGCUGGUCGUCAUAAUCUGCAAAGGCCAUAUGUGAAAUGAAAAUAGGCCAGGGGCUUGUUCAAAAAGCACUAAGGAUUUCAAGAUGCAAACAGCAGAGCGUUACACCAAGUGCAAAGUCAUCAUGCCUGCACGGACUAGCCAUGCAGCUGGCCCUGCUGGUUGUAUUUCAUGAGGCAAGGACACAAUGGGGACGACAUAAACAACCACUUCAGCAAGAAGAAAUGGAAAAGAAAUAAGAAAACAUAGAGAAGGCAGAAGAUCAUCAGUGCUAUGGGGGAAAUAGAUCAAGAAGACAGGGUAGGCGGCUGGGGAAGGGAGGUUAUAUGCCAUUUUUAUUAGGAUGGUCAGGGAAGACCUCUCCAAGAAGGGAAAUUUGCAUGAGGACUCAAGGGGACCAGGGAUGUGCCGAGCAGAUAUGUGGGGGAAAGGCUUUGGGCAGAAGGAACAGGAAGUCCAGAGGCUCUGGGUGGGAGUGAACCCGCUUUGCAGAAGGAAGAGCAAAGGGCUCGGCAUGGCAGGGGGGGAGUUAGGGGGACACAGCGGCGCCAAGUGAGGUCAGAAAGGAGGAGGAUGUGCAGGACUCUCCGUCUGAGGUCACUGCCAUUAUCCAAGUGACAAAUUCUGCGGGCGUGAAGCAGGGUGGGACGGGGAGAUGGUGAGAAGUGGUCAGACGGCAAAUGCACUUGGAACGUAGAGCCCAAAAGACUUGCUGAGAGACUGACCAUGGCACAUCAGAGAGAAACAAGGAUGACUCCAAGCUUUUUGACCUGAAUAAUGAGAAUCAAGAUGCUAUCAACCAAAAAGAGAAGCAUGUGGGGAGGAGGAGUGUGGGAGCAUCUUAGGAGCCCAGUUUUGGACAAGUUACGUCUGAGAUGCCCGUUCGUUGUUCUGGUAGAGGUACAGAGCAGGCAGUUGGAGAUAUGAAUUUUGGUGUCAGGGGUGGGGUCCAAGUGAGAGAUGCCAGGGUGAGAGUCAUCAGAGGUGGCAUAGGGACACAGGAGGGAAGGGCUCUCUGAGAGCUUCGAUCAACCCGGAGAGAGAUGACAUACACAGAAGCUUCUAACAGUACUGGACACUGUGUGACGAGAGUGAGAAAGAGACAAAGACACUAAAUGUGAAAGGAGUUCGCAGCCACAUGUCAGAGGUCAGGAGUGGCGAGGGCCAAGCCUGGAGGAAUGAGGAUGAGGAAACAAGACAGACUGACCAAGACAGGAAGAGCUGAGCCCAAGAGCUUGAACGCGGGGGCCCCAGGGCUGCUCCCUGACCACUCACCCACUGCCUACCAGCCACCAGCAAGUCCAGUCCAUUCUAACCCCCGAAAUACCUUCCAAAUUGACCUGUUUCUUUCCUGCUUCAUUACCAACACCCCAGGGACAAU